rnacentral:rRNA from 1 species
GAUGAACGCUGGCGGCGUGCUUAAUACAUGCAAGUCGAACGGAAAGGCCCUGCUUUUGUUGGGUUCUCGAUCGGCGAGCGGGGGAGUGACACGUGUGUAACCUGCCCUUGACUGUGUGAUAACUUCAGGAGACUGGGGCUAAUACCGGGGAUGAGCUCCUGCUGCAUAGGGUGGGUUGGAGAGUCUCGGCCGUGGUGGCUGGACUAGCGGGUUAUCAGCUGGUUGGUGUGGUAGUGGCUUUCCAAGGGUUUGACGGGUAGCCGGCAUGAGAGCGUGAACGGCCACCAUGCGACUGAGAUACGGCACAGACUGGUACGGGAGGCAGCAGUGGGGAACAUGACACAAUGGGAGCAAGCCAGAUACAGAAACGCCGGGUGCGGGAAAAAGGCUUAUGAGUUGUAAACAAAUUUCGCAGGUGACGAACCGUGAGUGACGGUACCGGGUAAAGAAGCACCGGCUAACUACGUG